UAUUUGUUUUAUUGGGUAUAUACACAUGUAUAUUUGUACUUGCGUACAUAUAUAGACGCGCAUAUUUGUUUUCAGUGUUCAUUCCUUAUGUUACUUAUUAGGAUAUUUAUUAAUAUAGGUUAUUCUUAUUUUAUUAUAGAGCUGGUUAUCUAUACUGUCACCGUGAUUUCGUUGGACGGAUAUGAUAAGGAUAAAUUAAAAGUGAGAAGAGGUAAUAGUGAGCUGAGACUGAAUUAAUAAGGAUAAAGGAUAAGUAUUUCAAUCUUAUUUUAUAAUCUUAUGAAUAUAUAUAUAUAUGAAUAAGAAUAUUAAUGUAUUUUCUUUCAUUUUAUUUCAGGUAAGGAAUAGGUACGAAAUUAUCCUGGAUGGGCUUGUUUUACGAGUGUGAAUAUGAAUACGUUAUAAUAGUAAUCUUACAAUUAGUAAAGCAUGUGAGUUACUUGCAUUUUAAGGUUGACUAAAUAUAUGUGUUUUUCUAUUUUCUAUUA